CCCCUGGUCAUGUCUCCCAGCAACAGCUGACUUAAAAGCUCGCAUUCACUCAACAAAAGUUUACUGAGCACCUAUUAUGUGCACUGUGCCACGCACUGGAGAGAUCACGAGGACAGGGAGCCACGGUCCCGGCCUUCAUGGUGAGGGUAAGCAUGCCAGGCACUGGCUGCCUCAGGCCCCUUGCACAUGCUCUUCGCUUGGUCUGGAACUCUCUGCCAAAUGCCACCUCCUUAGGCCUCUGUGACCACCCGUCUAAAGCCAUGCCCUCAGGUCUCUCUGUCCCCUGCCUGUUUCUUCGUGGCCCUCUCACCACCCGGCAUCACUCCUUUACCUGCUCAUUUGGGAGUUAUCUGCCUUCCUCUUGAAUAUCUGCUCUCGGGGCAGGGGUUGUGUCUGUUGUGUGCCCUGCUAUGCCCCCCAUGCCCAGCAUGGUCUUUAGCACACAGGUGGUGUUCAAUCAACACUUGUGAACAAAGGCACACACACAGCAUUGUAGCGGCAGAGACAGACGUGCCGGCAGACAAUCAGAGCUCGGUCAGAUCGGAGCCGUGGUGAAGUUGCAAGCCAGGAGAGAUCCCCAGCUCUCCCGUGACAGUG
rnacentral:lncRNA from 1 species